UGGAAUAAUGUAGGCAAGAAAGUUGGCAAAAUAGAUCCGUAACUUUAGGAAAAGGAUUGGCUCUGAGGGCUAGGCACGGGUAUCCUAGUCCCGAACCCGUCGGCUAUCAGGGGACUGAUCGAGAUGCUCCUACAGUGAGAACGGGUCUCUACGGGCCAUACGGGGGAUGGACUGGGAAUGAUUCCAUCAGGGGCCUUCCCCAUGCGUCGAACAGCCAACUCAAAAAUGGUACAGACAAGGAGAAUCCAACUAUUUAAUUAAAACAAAGCAUUGCGAUGGUCACAACAGAAGUUCAUGCAAUGUGAUUUCUGCCCAGUGCUCUGAAUGUAAAAGUAAAGAAAUUCAACCAAGCACGAGUAAACGAUGGGAGUAACUAUGAUCUCUUAAGGUAUCCAAAUGCCUCGUCAUCUAAUUAUUGAUGCACAUGAAUAGAUUAACGAGAUUACCACUAUCCCUAUCUACUAUACAGUGAAACCACAGCCAAGGGAAUGGGCUUGG
rnacentral:ncRNA from 1 species